GAUGAACGCUAGCGGCAGGCCUAACACAUGCAAGUCGAGGGAGAAGCCCUUUCGGGGGCCGAAACCGGCGCACGGGUGCGUAACGCGUAUGCAACCUACCUUUCACAGGGGGAUAGCCCGAAGAAAUUUGGAUUAAUACCCCAUAAUAUUAUUGGAUGGCAUCAUUUGAUAAUUAAAACUGCGGUGGUGAAAGAUGGGCAUGCGUCCUAUUAGCUAGUUGGAGUGGUAACGGCACCCCAAGGCUACGAUAGGUAGGGGUCCUGAGAGGGAGAUCCCCCACACUGGUACUGAGACAGGGACCAGACUCCUACGGGAGGCAGCAGUGAGGAAUAGUGAUCAAUGGUCGGAAGACUGAACCAGCCAUGCCGCGUGCAGGAAGAAUGCCUUAUGGGUUGUAAACUGCUUUUAGAUGGGAAGAAUAAGGCGUACGUGUACGUUGAUGACGGUACCAGAUGAAUAAGCAGCGGCUAACUCCGUG
rnacentral:rRNA from 1 species